rnacentral:rRNA from 1 species
ACGGAAGGCAGCAGUAAGGAAUCUUGCACGAUGGGGGAAACCCUGAUGCAGCAACGCCGCGUGAACGAUGAAGGCCUUCGGGUUGUAAAGUUCUGAUCUAAGGGAAGAAACAAAUGACGGUACCUUAGGAGAAAGCCCCGGCUAACUACGUGCCAGCAGCCGCGGUAAUACGUAGGGGGCAAGCGUUAUCCGGAAUUAUUGGGCGUAAAGAGUGCGUAGGUGGUUACCUAAGCGCAAGGUUUAAUCUUGAGGCUUAACCUCAUUCUGCCUUGCGAACUGGGCUACUUGAGUGCAGGAGGGGAAAGCGGAAUUCCUAGUGUAGCGGUGAAAUGCGUAGAUAUUAGGAGGAACACCAGUGGCGAAGGCGAUCUACUGGACGAUAACUGACGCUGAGGCGCGAAAGCGUGGGGAGCAAACAGGAUUAGAUACCCUGGUA